rnacentral:rRNA from 1 species
UUGACUGCGAGACCUACAAGUCGAGCAGGGUCGAAAGACGGACUUAGUGAUCCGGUGGUUCCGCAUGGAAGGGCCAUCGCUCAACGGAUAAAAGCUACCCCGGGGAUAACAGGCUUAUCUCCCCCAAGAGUUCACAUCGACGGGGAGGUUUGGCACCUCGAUGUCGGCUCAUCGCAUCCUGGGGCUGUAGUCGGUCCCAAGGGUUGGGCUGUUCGCCCAUUAAAGCGGUACGCGAGCUGGGUUCAGAACGUCGUGAGACAGUUCGGUCCCUAUCCGUCGUGGGCGUAGGAAAUUUGAGAGGAGCUGUCCUUAGUACGAGAGGACCGGGAUGGACAUACCUCUGGUGUACCAGUUGUCGUGCCAACGGCAUAGCUGGGUAGCUAUGUAUGGACGGGAUAAGUGCUGAAAGCAUCUAAGCAUGAAGCCCCCCUCGAGAUGAGAUUUCCCAACUUCGGUUAUAAGAUCCCUCAAAGAUGAUGAGGUGAAU